rnacentral:rRNA from 1 species
AGAGUUUGAUCCUGGCUCAGGAUGAACGCUGGCGGCGUGCUUAACACAUGCAAGUCGAACGAAGCGCAUGGACGGAUUCCUUCGGGUUGAAGACCAUGUGACUUAGUGGCGGACGGGUGAGUAACGCGUGGGUAACCUGCCCUGCACAGGGGGAUAACAGUUGGAAACGACUGCUAAUACCGCAUAAGCCAACAGGGCCGCAUGGCCUGGUUGGAAAAGAUUUAUCGGUGCAGGAUGGACCCGCGUCUGAUUAGCUGGUUGGCGGGGUAACGGCCCACCAAGGCGACGAUCAGUAGCCGGCCUGAGAGGGUGAACGGCCACAUUGGGACUGAGACACGGCCCAAACUCCUACGGGAGGCAGCAGUGGGGAAUAUUGCACAAUGGGGGAAACCCUGAUGCAGCGACGCCGCGUGAGUGAAGAAGUAUUUCGGUAUGUAAAGCUCUAUCAGCAGGGAAGAAAAUGACGGUACCUGACUAAGAAGCCCCGGCUAACUACGUGCCAGCAGCCGCGGU